rnacentral:rRNA from 1 species
UAUCUCUGUAGAGUCUGCAUAUCAAUAAGCGGAGGAAAAGAAACUAACAAGGAUUCCCUUAGUAACGGCGAGUGAAGCGGGAAGAGCUCAAAUUUGAAAUCUUCAAGGUUCUACCUUGACGAAUUGUAGUUUAAAGAGGUGUUUUCUGUUAGAUGAGUAGCAAAAGUUCCUUGGAAUAGGGACAUCAUAGAGGGUGAGAAUCCCGUAUUUGGUCAUUCCUCCUAGCUUUGUGAUACACUUUCAACGAGUCGGAUUGUUUGGGAAUGCAGUCCAAAAUGGGUGGUAAAUUUCAUCUAAAGCUAAAUAUUGGCGAGAGACCGAUAGCGAACAAGUACCGUGAGGGAAAGAUGAAAAGAACUUUGAAAAGAGAGUUAAACAGUACGUGAAAUUGUCAAAAGGGAAGCGUUUGACACCAGUGUUGUUUUUCCGAAAAUCAAUUACGAAUGUUUUAUUUUUGAGGAGUUAUGACUUCAUCGGCUUGCUCCUUUCUUUAUGAAACUUUCUUAAUGCACUUUUCGGUUAACAAGUCAACAACAAUUUCUUUUGUUGUAAAAGGGUAUGAGGAAGGUGGCUUUCUUUUCGGAGAAAGUGUUUAUAGCCUUGUGCCUCUGCAAUCGGAGAGAUUGAGGUCUGCAGCGUAGAUCCUUCGGGGUUAGAUACGUUUGUGCUAAGUUAUAGCUUUUCAUAGACAACUUGUUGACUAUGUUUAGUCUUGUAGCUUACUCGCUGACGCUAUUUUACCUACGCUUAGGAUGUUGACUGAUAUGUAGUCGUA